rnacentral:lncRNA from 1 species
GGGGUGAUUUAAGCAAUGUUCAAUACAAAGGUAUUUUGUUGCUUGUAGAAAGUCCAAGCUUCUAUUUUUUUUUUUUUUUUUUUUUUUUUUUUUAAUCCUUUACACAAAUUCAAUUAAAGAAUUACCCAAUUAUAUCUCUAGUGGUUGAAGGAAUUUAACCACUAGAGAGGAUAAUUAAAUUCCUUCAACCACUAGAAUUGGGCCCUCAACAAGGAAUUGAUAAGGAAGGGAAGUAAUAAUCAAUUUUGAAAAAGAGCUUGAUCUUUGAUGAAGAUCCUCAUAUAAUCAUAAUUUAAUUCUAAUUCUUAAAAUAAUUCUAACUAAAAAUCCUUCUACUUCACUCUAAAAUUCUUCAAGCUUCCUCUUCAAUACGAGUUCUUACACAACAACAAUCCACCACAAUACCAAGAGAUUGCACUAGCCGAAGAUAAAAACGAUUUACAAGCACACAACAAAUAAAUAAUUGCCUUUCAAGCAAUCCUAAGACUUAUAAGAUCUUCUUCUUGACAAACAUAUUAGAAUAUAAGCUAAAUAAACCUCCACAAGUUGGAAGUUUAUUCUAAUUCACAAUUAGUAAAUAAACUUGUGAACUUUAAUAGUUAUAGCUAUUAAUCAAAUUCUAAUCAAAUCUCUAAUUAUUCUUUUUAACUAAUUCAAGCAAUUAAGACAAAAAUUCUAUAACUAAUUUACCUUCAAAAUAAUAAAUUCUUCAUCCAUUUAAUAUCAUAAAAAAAAUCUUUAUUUAAAUAUAUAUAUAUAUAUAUAUUAUUUUUAUCUUUUAUUAUUACUAUCAUUAUUAUUUUAUUAAUUUUAACUAAUAUUCAUCUAUUAAUAAAAAAUCAUCCUUAAAUAAUUAUUCAUUUAUAUAAUUCAUCCAUGGUUAAAAAUUCAUCUUUGAUUGAAAUUCCAUCUAUGCAAUUUAUCCAAAUCCUUAUUUAUCUAAACCCUGAAUCCAUUCUUCCUAAAUUCUCACCAAAUAGAGAAAUUCGCUGCAGCGUGUUGCACUUGGUUCCAGCUCAACCGCCGAGGUAGCUCAAGGUUGCUGUUCCGUUGCCGAUUCCCAACAUCAAACAAAAGAACCCUUCACCAUGCCGCUUGGAACUUCACCAUGCUCGAUUAACUCGCUCACAAUCUUCUCCUCACAUCUAGGUGUAGCGAGUCACGAUGCGAAUUUAGGCUCAAUGAUGACCAAGUGCCUACAAUUCACCAUGCACCUUCUCCUAUCCUCAGAAGCCCUUAGCCCAAGCUCUUUCCAAAACGUGGUACCCACACGUUCUGCUUGUAGGAAUCACGACUCUGAAUGUUCCACAAUAAUCUUCCCACUGAGUAUUUCAAAUGCAUGUCCUCGAGCCUCCCUAUGAACCUUCAUCUUAAAAGCAGAAAGUAUUUGAAAAUGCUCUCAAAUUUUGUGUCUUCGAAGCGGAUUUGAGAAUAAUUGGUAAGAGCCUACAAUUCACCGAGCAUUGAUGCCACCACAAUCUGAACUGUAGUCAACCCAAAUUCAGAAUAGGAUGAAAACGCUACUUGAAGGCACCCAAGAACCACCGCCGUUGUAUGCCAUGUUGAGUUAACUUUCCUAGACAACGACUCUCAGAACCAGCACUUUUUAGCAUGCCAAACAACGACUCAUGUUGCCAUUUAAAAAUCAAUCCAAUGCAACUUCCUUGUGCCCAAAUAGGCUCUUCCAAUUAGAGCCAAGGAAGGAGAAAAACAUACAAAAAGUUGUCAACAGUGGCAGUGGUCACCACACAUCAGAUCUGACCGUCAACGUCCCCACUGAUACCAGCUGCAUACAUUGGAACCUCCACUUGAUUCUUUAUCGAUACAAUUGUCGAUUCACAAAUAGAAGUGAUGGCUCUAGCCUUGUUGCUCCAACUCGAGGAAAAAAUAAAAACUUCUCCACCUCCAGAUCCCAAAGCGUUCAGCAUCCAGGAAAAUGAAAAUGGAACAACCAUUCAAUCCGCCGUUGGACCUCUUUACUGCCACUAAAUUGUCAGCUCCUUCCUCGCAUAGAAGAAAGAACAAAACAACCACAUCUGAUUGCAGCAGUACCGUCGCAUUGAGCUUUGAUCUCUCACCACAUCAACCACAUAUGUAAGGGAGUAUUCAGGUACAGGAACCCGCCGCAUUAUACAAUGCCGCAAAACUACAUUUUCUCCUUUAGAAUAAUGCUACAGUGUCACGGUCAUCUCUACCGGUGAUGCAAUUGCAUGGAUCAGGAACAGAUAACAAAAAACCAAAAAAAAUAAUUAAGACCAACUUCUAAAUUCCAACUUCCCGUUGAUCAUUGAACAAUAGAAGAAGAUGUUACACCACAGCACCUCCACGGAACACAGGGCACAAGAAAAAUUUGAAUAACACCAACGUCCACGCAUCCGACAACAGAUGGAAGGUCUUCAACACCGUCGCCAACCCUCGCAUGCCAAGCACUGUCGCCUACUUGGAUCGUCUGCAACAUUAAAAAAAAAAAAAAAAAAAAAAAAAAAACAAAGCACAGCACAGCAACGGAGAACAGCCUGCACCGCUAGACCACAAUCACCAAGGGAGAGAGAGUUUUCCGCCUCAAACUACAGCUAAACCCACAUCGCCGCAAAUCAGAACCAGCGAAGGUGUCCUCCAAGGAGCGCCGCUGCAACUCCUUCGUUACGGAAGGCGUGAGUAUUUUGUGUUUCAACGCCUCGAGCCCAACUGCAAUCGCACAACCGUACAGGAGGGGGAAAAACGCCUUUAAAAGAAAGAAAACAAGAAAAAUAAAAAUAGAAAAAUAGAAGACCGGGAUCAGAGGCGGCCCAAACUCCUAUCGGCAAUGAGGCUGCCGCCGUUCAUGGGCAGCCUCUCGCCUUCUUGAUUAUAUAUAUAUAUAUAUAUAUAUUUCUUUUCUUUUUUCUUUUCUUUUUCUUUUCUGUCCUUUUCUUCUUCCAUCCUGAUUUCUUUCCCUUCUCCUUUUUUAUUUUUCUUUCUUUCUCUUCUCUAUUCUUCUUUCUACUCUCUAUUCUUCUUUCUACUCUCUAAUGAUCUUUUUAUUUAUUUUAUUUUAUUUUAUUCUAUGUUUAUUUUUUAUAUAAUCUAUAUAUAUAUAUAUAUAUAUAUAUUUUUUAAGAAAUAUUAAUAAAAUAAAGUUUCUUUUUCUUUUUGAUAUUAAGACUACCUUUGGUCCUUCUUUUAAUAUUAGCUGACUAAAAACAUAUAUUUUUUAUAGAAUUUUUCUUACUAAACUCUAUCUUAGGUUGUAUGUUUGCUAUUGGUAAUUUAUUUUUUAUUUUUUCCUAAAAUUCCACUAUUAAUUCACAAAAUCUAUAAAUUUAAGUACAAUAAGUACUUUUUUUAUCCUAAAUAUCCAAAUGAGUCAAUUCAAUGAUUCACACAACUAUAAGAUGUAAUAAAGGUAUAGCUUGAUAAACAAUUUGUUCUUCUUUAUUAGUCAAACCUCCUUCUCAAUCAUAAUAUUUCAAGUGUGUAAGGCAUUUUGAUGAUAAAAGACUUGGAAUUUUUAAAGUAUUUUUUUUCUUAUCUCUAUUUUUUUUUUUAAAAAAAAUGAUUAGAUUAUUUUUAGUCCAAUUUUAUUUAGACUUUGCUUGUAUAAUCCAUGGUCGACCUAAUAAUAUGGAAUAGCUUUGAGUUUUCUUUUCCAUUUUCAAAACUAUUACUAUAAUGUAAAUUUUCCUACUUACAUUUGUAAAUCUCUAAUAAUUCCUAUUAGAUUCACUUUUUAUUGAUCAACCAUUUUUAUUGUAAAAGGUAUUGGUUCAAUCUUAUUAUAAUUCAAUUUUUUUCAUAAUUCACUUGUGAUAAUAUUCACUCUUAAAUCUCCAUCUAACAAUACAUAUAUAAUUUGUUGCUUAAUUUUAAUAAUUAUUAUGGAAAUUUUUGUAUCAUAAUCUUGACUUACAAUAUAAGCUUUUGAUAUACUUGAUUCAAAUUUAUUUUUAGGAAGAAAUGCUUGUAUCACCUUUUUUUUGUAAUAUGAAGCUAGCUCCAAUAAUUGUCCAAUAGAUAUAUUUGCUUUUGUCUGUUGAAAUACAUCUCUAAUUAUUUUUUCAAUCUUUUCUUUUUUAUUGCUCUUCUUCUUUUAAUAUUUUGACUUACUAAUAUUUCUUCAAUAUUUUUAAGUAAAUUUUCUUCUAAAAUUAAAAUUUUUCUAAAUUCUUUUUGUAAUUAUUAUACUUCUUCAAUUACAUCUUUAUAUAUUCUUCUUUUAUUAGCCCAUUCUUGUGAUAUUUUUAUUGUAAUUUAUUUGAGUUUAAAAACUCAAGUUGGUUUCUACUUUCAUCUUCAAUGUCUUCAUCACUACUACUAUUGCUUAUUAUUACAUUCUCAAUUUUUGUUUUAUCUCUUUGAACUUAAGUUAUUACACAAACUUUUGAAAUUAUUACAUUUGUGGCUACAACUAGUUGUCAUUGUAUUUGUGCUUCUCUAGCUUCUUUUUGAUGUUUAAGCCAUAGAAGACAAUCUAUUUUUAUAUGUCUAUUUUGAUGGCAAUAAUAACACUCAAGAUUACCCCCUCGUGCUUGAUUUACAUAACUUUUUUUUGGUGAAUUUAUAUUUUUGUCUCUUUCAUAUCUUAGUUGUAAUCUAUCCUCAUAAUAGUUGAAUCUAUAUCCUUCUCUAUAAGGAUAUCUUUCUUCUCCUCUAUAAGUGUUAUUUCUCAUUGUAUCUUCUUUCAUGUAAUAUUUUUGAUUCAAGGAUCCAUGACUUCUAUCUUGAUUUAUAGGUAAAUUUUUUCUCAUAGGUUUUCUUUUUCUCAUAUUAUUUAAUUGUAGUUGUACUUGAUGAACUUCUAAACUUCUAUCUCUAUAUUGUCAAUUUUUAAUACAAUCAUUAGUUUGGUAUGUAUGUAUAUUAUAAUUUGUACAAAAUUUCAUAUGACACUCAAAAAGAAAAUGUCCUUCAUUAUUGUACUUCCUACAAAUAACAUCUACUCUAAAUUUCUUUGAUCCAAUACUUAAUUGAAUCAUUUCUUCUUUUAUUUUCCUUAAAUUUUCUUUAGUAGUCUUUUUUCUUUUUUUCUAUUUUUCUUCCUUUCUUCUUGAUCUAAAUCUUCAUUUGAAUCUUUAGAUUUUGUAUUAUAAGAUCUUUCUUUCCUAUGUAUACUUAGUUCAACUUUUUUUACUCAUUUUAGAGCUUCUUCCAAAGUAUCUAUUGAUAAUAAAGCUAUAUGUUUUCUUAUUUUUUUCUUUAAUCCAUUUAAGAACCAUGUUUUUUUAAAUAGGUCAUGGAGUUCAGGAAUAUGUUUAUUAGCUACCAAUAUUACUCUUUCAAAGAAUUCUUCUACAUCCUCUCCUUUCUUAUGUUUGAGAUGUGAAAGAUUAUCAAUGACUUUUCUAUCACUCUUUUUUUCUUUGAAACAAAUAAUAAAUGUAUUUCUAAGAUUUUUCUAAGAAGUAAAAGGUCCUAUAAAAUAAUAAGUAUAUAAUUCAAGUACCCUUUUUUUAAGUAUUACUGAAAAAAAUGCUAAUUUGUCUUUAUCUCUUGUUUCUUUGUUAGCUUGACAAAUAUUAUUAAAUUCUCUAAUGUAAAUAUCUAUAUUUCCUUUGCCUUUAAACUUAGGCAAUCUUGUUUUAAUAUGUCUGAUAGUUAAUGCCAUAUUAGUUUUUUUUUUUUUUUUAUUGUAAUGAUGUAGGUAAAUUAAAAAAUUGUAUUAAAAGUUGUCUUGGUUCUAUAUUUGAAUAUAAUUUCCUUGUAAAUUCUUAUAUAAUUGAAGAACAUCUUCCUUCUUCUUUUAUAUCAUCUCUACUAUUAGAACUUAAAACUUCUAUUAAGUUCUUCAACUUAAGUUCUCCAAAAGAAUUUUUUCUUCUAUUAUAACAUUCUUUUUUUUUGAUAUUUUACAUAUUAAUUCUUUCUCUUCUUUCUUCUUCUUCUUUUUUGCUUAAAUAUUUUAUAAAUAUGUUGUCAUUGAGCAGCUUAUUUCCUUGGAAUUUUUGGACUUUUAAAAAGUCUAGUUUCUUGGCUCAUUACUUAAUGUAGUAUUUAACUUUUAUUUUGUGAUUUCUUGAUUACUAAUAUUUCUCUUCAUACAAUAUUCCUUCAUGUAGAUCUCUCUUCAAUAUAUAGCUUAUUUUUAUCUUUUUUGACUAAUAUUAGAUAUUAUUUCUUUCUUCUUUUGUCCUAUUUGCAUAAUGCUUUUGAUUUAAACGGAAAUAUAGAAUUUUUCUAUACCAUCUUUAUUUAUGGUUCUUAAUACUUCUCAUAAAGUUGGUAAGUUCUAUUUAGAAACAUCACUCAUUCUUACUAAAUCAUCUCUGAUAAUUUUAUAAAUUUUAUAAACUUAAUUAUCAAAGCUAGGAGCAUAUUCCCAGCAUGGUCGCCAAAUGAACACCUAGAGUCUUGCACCUUAAGAAUCUCAAGUAUCCCUUUUAUAUUUCUAUAAAGGAAUUAUCCCUGUACUUAUUUUAAUUCUCCAUAGUUCUUGGUUUUAUUAUAAUCAAACAAUUCAACCUUAAAACCAUCUUCAAUUUAUAUGCUAAUAUUAUCUCAUCUUCUUUAACCUAUUCUUCACACAUCUAUACCUUCAUUAUCUUCAUCUUUGUCUUUGUCUUCUUCAACCUCAUCUUUAUAAAUCUAUAUCUUCAUCAAUUUCAUUUUGUCUAUAUCUUUCUUUUCUUUUUUUAUAUUAGUCUAUUUCCUUCAUAUUUUUCUACAAUACAUCUCUUUAAUAAAAUAAUAUCUUUAUUAAUUGUAAUUUGUAACAUUAACAUUAUGCUACUCUUAUAAUAAGAUACUCUCAUAAGAAAUUCUAAUAACUUUUCUUUCUUGAUUUACCAACCUCUUAUAAGUACAUUUUUUCAUUUUCUUCACACCAUGUUUUAUACUCACUCUAAGCAUAAAAUAAAAAACACUAACACACAUGGCCUCUGCCUCCUAUAUUGAUUCUUUGAACUAAGUUCAACAUAAGGAAAACUAGUCUUUAGAUCAAAACUGCUAUGAUUUCAUAUUAAUACUUCAUUGUAGUUUGUCAAGGUAAGAGAUAAAUUUAGCUAGCAAAGCCAUGAGUAUAUACACAGACAAUGAAUGCACUCAGCUACCAUCCUUCAUUAAGUGUAGUAACCCUAAUUAGAUAAGCAUACACCUAGUAUGUUUAGACUUAAUGGAUACAUGUAUUUUAUACUAACAUACAAGAAGUCAAAGAAGAAAACGGAGGAGAACAGGACUUGGGGAAAACUCAGUUCCUACUUAUCAGCCUGCAACUCAUCUGCCUUCUAUCACCACAGAAGUUCCUCAAUCCGUCUUGAGUCAGUCUUGUGGAGAUGUCAUUUGAGCGGCCAACCUUGGGAAGGCCUCUAAAGGAGCUUCCCGAGUUAUUUUUCAGAAAGUAAAAGAGCAAUGUAGGUUGUGCAUGAGCAUUUGCUCUACACCUUUGAAAGCUAUUGGAAAAGGAAGAUAAUGGAAAGAAGAAUGACAAUGAACAAUGGUUCAAGUCUCAAUGUGAACCUGGCAAGACAGCUGAAGCUAGGGAGAAAAAGUUAGAGAUUAUGAGAAGGGCUUUUAGGGUAGAGGUUGUCGAUCUGACUGGUAUCUCCACAUUGUUCGGAUCAACAUCAGGUGUAGUUGCCCGAUUUGUUGUGGACUACGGAAAAACCCGGCUAGGUUGUUCUGUUCAUUCACUCGAGCAGCUUUGGCCACACACACCGGUAUGACCUUACCUCGGUAACAAUGCUACUGCAAACAAAAGGUUUCUCCAAGCUGGAAGAAAGUAAUGGAGUGCAAGUAGGAAGAUGAGAAUGGUUACUCUCAUACCAGUUUUUAUGACUAGUACUCAUUGCUUUGUAAAUUCACUUGCUGCUUUACAAAAAUCUCAUGUUUCGUUGAGACAUUUCCUCUUUAGUUUGCGACAAGGUUUUUCCCAUUUGCACAUUAGAAACCUUGUGCACAUCCAAGUAAUAACAUUGUGUGCUUGUUCAGGUUUUUGGAGAAUUUCAUCAAUUAUGAAGAAGUGGAGCUCCUGUUGGAUGCUAUUCUGGUUAUUCCUGGUCCUUUUCAUGCGCUUGCUGUAGGUAUUCACGUACCAAGGAUGGCUGUUCCAGGUUCUGGCCCGAGUCAUCCUCCAUUAUCACCAAGCCCAGCCUCAGCCGCAGCUGCGAGGCAUGGAGUAAGUUUUUCAGGGCCAAUGAUAAACCCUCACGGUCCCUCUGGUGCUGCAUUGAGUCCUGCAGCAAGGCAAGUGGCAAGUACUCUCAUCUAAUGCUAUUGUGAACUUUACGAGCAGUAACAGAGUUCCAGUCGUUCCUCAAGGAGCCAUACUUUCAAUUCACUAGAGAUCAAUGAAUCUGGUAAGUCUCCAUCAUCAACUCUCAGUUGUAAUACUAGCUCGACUUCGUCAGAUGUCUCCUGGUUUCUAGACUCAGGAGCCACAGCAUGUCACUGGAAACUCAGACAUUAUAAUCAAUCUACGUCCCAACAACUCCGCCCUCAUGAUUGCUGCGGGAGGAGAGUCACUCAGCAUAUCUGGCAAGGUAGCGCUUUUGUUUGAUUUCCAAAGGAUGUUCUGUACGUACCUAGCAUAAGACGUAAUCUUCUUUCAGUUGGAUGCAUAGCAGAUAAUGGCUUUCACGUUGAAUUUAUGAAAACAGUCUGCAUCACAAGGAAAGCCAACUCCCAAAUUAUACUUGGUAAAGAAUAUAGAAUGGCCACACAAGGAUUAUAUAGACUAGAUGCUCACAGCAUUAUUCAGCCUGAAGUCUACACAUCGGAACAGAUGCAUCAGAUAGAUCAAUCUAUUCUAUGGCAUAGACGUCUCGGUCACUUAAACUUCCACUCAUUGCACGAACUCUCAAUAUCAGGAGCAGUAUCAGGACUACCGAAACUGGCUGAGGUCAGCACCGUGUAUGACAUCUGUCAACUAGGAAAACAAGCGAGAAAAAAAUUUCAUCACAGCACUUCGAUCUCUACUACACCCCUUCAAUUUGUUCACAGCGAUGUAUGUGGACCAUUUUGACACCCAGCAUACAAUGGGACACGAUAUUUUCUGACAUUUAUCGAUGACUAUAGUUGGUGACCAAGUAUGGCUGCAGCUAGUUCCGCCUCCAAGGAAAGGAGGCAAUAUUUGUGGAGGCAUUUUACCCUGCCCCCAAUUUCGCACCUUUGUUGUGGAACAUGUGGUCGUGGUUAUGAACAGUGCAGAUAUCGUUGGUGUAGGAACCGCUGGGUCUAACUCCCCUAAUGCAGGGGGCAAAAUUGACACUCGUCAAGUGGGAUCUGUAGUUAACCGUCAAGGCUACAACGCCAGAACCCCUAUUCAAGGAAGCUCAGCAAUUCUGCAAGCAUGGGAAGUGCCAUUUUCAAUCGAGUGGAGUGAACCCAACUGAUGUUGGGAUGGGUAACGAUGGGGGUUGUGGAGGUGUAUGGGUACCACUGGCAGCACCAGAGAAGGUUUUUCGAAGCAUGUUUCGCUACCUAAGCGGAUAUGGUUGUUCGCACAGUUACCAACCAUUCUGAAAGAGGUGCUAGCUUCCUCCCUGAAUCAGAAUGAGGGUGCGCUGCUUAAUUUAUGAUUCAGAGCAAACAGCCUUACGGUUUUAUAUCAGGAAAUGUUUACUCAGUUUCGAGCAAAUUUCCGAGAUGAGAGUUAUGCAUGAAAAAUGCAGCAGGAUUCGAAGACUCAUAGCACCAGCAAAUCAACAUUCCCUCUCACGAAUACUAUGGGAAUUUACAGUCUUCCUUGUAGUGCAGUGUCUAUGUAUUUUCCUCACUUUCAAAGUAUUAUUAUUGACUAGUUAUUAGUACCAUGAAGCAUGUCAGCGUUCUCUAUUAAAAAAAUAUAUCUAUAUUUUAAUGAGAGAGUUUACUAGCAGCUCUAACACAUAUUUUAUCUGCUGCAGAAAUGCAAGAUAUUGGUGAUAUUAUUGCACAGAGGGUAGCCUCAGAACCCUACGAUGCAUCUCGCUUAGCUUUUUUUGUGACCAUGCUGACCCUCCCUGUAGCAGUCCUUCGGAAAUUCCUACCUCUCAUCCGAAUUUUUGACAAAGGAUAUUAAUACCAGAUUAUGUUCCUCCAGCUCUAUGAUCGUAAGUGUACUGACGUUGGCCAACUGUUGAGACUACUCUUCAAAAAUUAAUGAAGAAAUUAUCGUCGGGUAACAAUUAUCUUAAGCACAACCCUUCCAUGAUUUCCGCAUUUUUUGAGACUUCUAAUAUCGUCCUUGUCCAGGUUCUGUGAUGGUAACUGGAGGCACUGUUGAUGAUCAAGGUGCCUCCCCUCGUCUACAUGUGGAGCUCAGCCAUGAAUUCCAAGCUAGAAAUGUUUGAGUCGAACUAGUGACGGGCACAGAGAUGAAUUGAGUGCUGCUGGGACCUCUCAUUGUAAAAGCAACAAUGUACAUAACCAUCAUCGAGACACCGUUGUAUUCACCCUCACGUUCUCCAUCGACGCCUCCUCGCUACCGUACUUAAAUGUGGCUGGCGGAGCGGGGUGGUUGCCUCCAGCAGUUGCGAUUUACAUACCUCUACGGAGAUCAGACCUGACGAAUCAUAUUGUCAAGUAUGCAUGGAAGCCUCGCGGGGCGCUGUAGAAAUUUCAUUAUUAUAUUAUAUAAAUGAUUAACAUGUGUCCUUAUACAAGGAAGGUGACGCUCUUUCAGAAGAGUCUCAACCCUAGAAUGUAUAACUACACAAUUCUAUCAAAGGACACAGUCAGUGUAAUACUAGUGUGCUAUACUGAUACUUAUAAAUGUAUCCAACAGGCGCUCUUGAGGUCCCGACCUGAGAAUUGGGAGAGAUGCAAAGAAAGUGUGACCCGGGCCGUCCAGGUUCCGCUGGGGCAGGGCUAAGGACGUUUUAUAAUCUUAGCUGAGCAAGUUCUUAUGGCACUGACGCAGUGUGGUAAAGGAGCUCUCCAACAGCACCAUGUUCUUCUCUAAGUCCCUCAUCUUUACGGUGCUCCUAACUCAGAUUGAGCACUUUGUUGUUCAAGAUCAUGGUUUCAUCCUGGGAAAGCAUGGACAUUUCAGGGUUUCUCGCAGCUCUAAUUAAAGACAAGUGUUGAUUGAUCACCAAACAAUUAGUAGAGGGCUAGCUAGCGACACAGGAAGGCUGUGACAUAAUGGCCUUAGUGCAUUACUUCCUCCCCUCAUGCUCUUGAUUUCACAGUAAUAUUCCAUUUGCUCCGAUAUUAAGUUACCACGGUUUAGGGUAAAAGCUACCAUCAGCUCCAUGUGCUUCAUAGACAUUCAUUUCGUGCUUACUAGCAAGCCUGCCUCUUAUAAUGGAGUAAAUACACUCACUGACAUGCUUGUGCUCCCCAAUUUUUAAAGAAGAUAUUUACUUAGUCUAGUCGUAUCAAGAGUCAUUAGGGUACUCUUCUAAUGCAAAGCUACAGUAGACUUCACUGCUCAUCCAGAAUAUUUCUCUAGGCGCCACAUGAAGUUGAUCGAUCAGCUCUGAAGAGCAAUAUGAUGAUUGAACACCACAAGUAAUUAAGACCAUUUCUACACAAGGUACAAGAUGAAAGCGGUCUGCAACCUACAUGUCUUCAAUUUGGCGCCGCUUGUCAUGCUUAUGUACAGGAUUACCAUUUCUUCAUUAAAUCAGAGAGCCCGAACACUGAAUUUCCAUCACGACAGCAUUCUAUGCUUCAAUUUGGCUGCAAAAAAUGAAGCAUCACAUCAGUGACUCAACCCCGAUGCAACUGCAAAUGUGAGCAUAAUCUUAAUCCACGAAGGGUCAUUGUGCAAAUAAACCAUCUAAGGGAUGAUAAGAAAGUAGGAUGAAAGUUUUACAUUUGAGAAUUGAAAAGUUGUGGGAACCCGUUUCUCGUGGUACAUCAGCUUUGUGCCAAUCACUGAUCUGCGAGCUGGUUGUCGGAAGAGGACGCGCUUCAGAGUCUUGCAAAUGGAUAACUGUUGAUUCAUCCAACAAUGCGCAAGCAAUAAGAUUAGCAUUGAAAAUGGAGCUGAUUCAGCGAUGUUAACGGAAGAAUUUAGGAUGAGCUCAGACAACAGAGUUGUGAGCUCAUCGAAAACGAAUGAAAUCCGAAAGAGCAAUAGUUUGUGAACUCACGAUGAAUUGAACACGUCGGUGUGGUUUUGGACUCGACCAUGAAGACAAUGGCAGGGCGCGAGACGACUUGUGCCGCCUGGACACAAGAUUCACAGUCGGAGACAGCAUCUCUAGAGUUGCUGCAUACGCUGGAGGAGGACAAUACUCCUCUCGGUGGCUGGAGGUCCAGCACUUAUCCAACUGAGUGGGAGAUACAAUAUUCAUGUACAUUCUGGAGUUGCUAUAAUCCCUUCCGCGAGAAUUUGCUUCCAGCUUUCCGACUAAGUUGCGAGUGUGUCGUGUUGCUAACUCCUGCUCUUCAACACUUGGCAUUCUAUAUGGCAGCCUGGUGGGCCGUUUCGGAGAGGCUUCAGGACUUGUGUCGUAAGUGUCAAAUGUACAAUCUUGCAAGGGUAUAGGUUCCCCGUUUGAGUUGAGGUAUCCGCUUGAAGUGGGCGCACCCUGCUUGUCGAGAAGGCCGUUCGAUAUCGCCGCCUCGGUCACGUCCAGGCGCUGGAAGUACGUUGCUAGUGUGGGGGCCCAAACCUCGGGACUGUAGAGAGAACCUAGCCUCUUCCGGUUGGAUUUCGAUUUUCUGAGGCAUUUUCCAUGGGAUUUGCAGAGCUUGAGCAGGCUCUUGACGCACUCCGAUCUGUGGGCAUUGGAUCUUUUUCCUUGGAAGGUCACCUUUGCAGAAGGACCAAAGUUCGGAACUAUAGGCGAUUCUGAAUAGCCCAUAGAGGUUUGAGAGUCAAACGAGUGGGACUUAGUUAUAUAUGAAGGGCUUACAGUAUUAUCGUGAUCGUGGUCGGGGGCGAAGUCCUCUUCAAUUGAUUCAUACGAUGCGCUGGAGCUCGAUUUGGAGCCAGCCAUGCUAGGCGUAGACGCGCCAAAAUCACAGCUUAAAUAUGUGCGAGACGAUGAGGACUGGCGACCGCUGUGGAGAAUGCUGGUAGGAUCCGAACAGGAAUGGCUAGAACCAGAUCGAUGCAUCCAUGGAUGAGAGGCCUUGAGCUCGGAGCUCAAGAGCUUGCGAGGCUUAAGGUUAAGAGGCGAGUCAGUGGAUGUCAAUGGCUGCGAUAAUGGCUUGUUGAUCUUUCGCGGAUUGACGCUUCGAUCGCUGGAUUUAGAAGAAACGGACUCCUGGUUGCCGGCGUACGCAUAGCCAUGGUGAGCCUGCGAUUGCUUCGGCAGCGAGCUCUUGGUGGCGCGGUACUGAUGCAUCCAUGUGGGAUCCUGCUGCUGCAAUCGAGAUGGUGAGGAAGUGGCCGUCAUGCAAGGAAACAAUCCUCCGAGAGAGUGAGAAGCGACUGAAACGCGAAGCUCCCUGGCGAAAUUGGACUUGGUGGUGCGAUGCAUGUGGACAGCCAGACGCGGAGGAAGUUGUAAGGUUUCUGGCUUACUUUUGCCUGCUGUCUCAUCCACCUUGGCCUUGCCCGGAGUGUCUUCCCACUUGAAUGGGACUGCAACAGAAGGCGGCGAAGCAUUGUGAUGAUUGGCGCUAGUAUACAAUGACGACUCCGAUGUCUCUAUUAAAAACUUUGCCGCAGAAGGAGCAACGAGAUCGAUGUGCGCCUCUUUCUCAUAGAUGCUGCAUCGCGUGCUGGAGAUUCGCCAAAUUCUAGAAUCGCCUGAAUUUCUUUGGACAUGGCCAGCUCUACCGUGAAAUCUCUCGCUGGCAGUUACUCUGUGUGAUGAUGAAUGCGCAACUUUGUGGGGGUGGUCAUUGGUUGAUACCUCCCCUUCUCUUGCAGAUGUUCGUUGAGAACUUGAUAUCGGCGACUUGUCUUCCACAAAGCAGUUGAGCUCGAUUCCAUCUCUUGAUAACUUCCGGGCCAACGCUCGCUGCGCUGCUGCUGCAAUGCUUUUCGGUUUGUCAAGCUGCUCAUCCCACUUACAGGGGACGGAAGCAGCUAGAUCGUGAUGUUUACGUCCAUCUACGUGAUCAUGUGGUGGAGUCUGGAGUGGUCCUUGCUCGACAUUCUUUGGGUUAGAUGGUGUCGACAGAAGCUCACGAAUAGUGCUUUUAGGUUUCACAUCGCUGUCUAGGAACCUACAUUGCGCAGUCUGUAUUUUUUCAACCUCCCUUUCAGACUCUUGAAGCACCGAAGCACGGCAAGCCUUCCUUGAGCUGGACUCCUGAUGAUAUUCUUUUCCCUGCGAACUUGAAUCUUUGAGAUUCUCGUGCAUUUUCUUGUGCUUGAACGCAGCCUCGGUCGCUGGGAUUGUUCUGUCUCCAUGACGAAAGCUACAGCUUCCUGAAUUUCUCUUGUUUGCGUAGUGUUUCUCAAGUUGCCUACAAGGUUUCAGAAAUGCAAAUUGAGAUUGUCUAGCAAUAAGUUCGUCAACUCGCUGUGCAAGCACGUCGAAAUUGCUAUCCUCGUCUUGUGCUGACAAGUGCUCCUCGCUGCGAUGUUCCUCAAGAGAAUUUAGCGCUUUGUUCUCCACAUCGCAAUGUCCUUCUACUGAAACUCCGCACCGGAAGCCGCUCAACCAGCUCGAUUGCUGACCAUGGUGAACGACCGGCCAACCUGCAUCGAUUUGUCCUGUGCCAUGGCUUACAUAAACGUCUCCCUUUUCUUGAGGUCGCAGAGGGGCCUCAUUGCUAAUAAUAUGCGAUCUCAUGGCUUCCAAUUCUCAGUUACUAUCAUCAGUCCGCAAAUUACCUGGCGACGAACUACCUUCAUCAACUGCCGCAACUACUGAUCCCAGCUCACUUCCUUAUCAACGCCAUCCCGCUGUGCUCUCUUACGUUCAACUAACCCCCCAGCAGAAUGCUCCGGAAUAGAGAGCUAUCGAACUCACGCGCAACAGUAGCAAAACGCAACGCCAUAGCCGGUAUUGCCAGGAGCUAGCGCAAUAUCGCAUCCAUGACAUAGAUUUUCAGGAGUUGGUGCUGGUUCAGAGUGCGGAUUAUGAAGGUGUGCUGCCAGUGUAACUAAAUCAGGAUCGUUCACGGUGCACAAAACAAUCACAAACGGCCGCUGUAAAGCUACGUCGCAACUUGAUUCCAACGCUCUCAUCCUCGAACUCAAUUGAGACAGAAUCAUUCAACCAGGCUAGCGCAGCAUGAACUCCAAAUCAUUCAACUCCCGCAAGCGUUGAGAUUUCUUCAGCUGUAGGCUCACAACACAAUCAUCAAGACGCUCCUCGUCAAGUGAAUGAUGCCACUGAAUAAUAGGUACUCUCACACGUGAGAGCAUUUCCGUCGUGCACCACAGCAAGAAGCCAAGUACGGAACUUACCCGCUACAAUCAAAACUCUCAUAACCUUAAGCUUCAUUCUACUCUUCUAACUCCGCAAAAAGAAUGCGUUGGCAAUCAGAUGAGCUAUUUCUGCUCGCUAACAUGACGAUACCCUACGCUAACGAGAGGCAUCCCAGCUAUCAAGCUGACUAGGCUACUUGAUGUGUGCUUAAUGAAACAAUCCGGCAUCGCAAGCUAUGAAACUGUAAUGAUAUCUCAUGUGCUUGGACUGUUCGGCAGCUAAAAACUCGAGCAGCGUCUGAUAAUCUAAGUGGCGAAAAACAGAAUGAAGAGGUAGAUCUCCUAUCGGUUUCUAUGUGUAGUUCUCCUCAAUCAUCCAAGCCAAGGGCACACUAAUCAAGAGACAUAGACAGAGGAAUCUCCUGGUCUUCUACAGGUUAUAAGCCUAACACGAUCUAGUUAACUAUCGGAGUGACAAAUUAACGCACUGCGCAUCACCUGGUCAAAAGUAGGAUUAUGGAGGAUACGUUUGUUUUGUAGCUGUAGGGGGGGUACUGGUUGUCGUCAUGCAGUCGCAGUUGGAGCUAGUAUCAACCAACCCGCCAACGGAACGCUCGAGCCACAAGACCGAUGGACGAGUCUCGAGAGAGAGAUGGCUGCAACCUCGAACCGGCUGAAAGGAUUGAUGUGACGAUGCGCUGCUGCAACUGUCUGCAUCCCCCUUGAAUGUAGGCCCCGCCAGGUGCUCUGUGAGGGGACUCUCGAAGAAUCCAACGCUCGCUGUGUCCCGUAUCCUGCUGUCAGGCGGCGAGUGGAUCCGAUCGCCCUCGCCCUUCCGCGAUUUCCCAAUUAUCCCAUCGCGAUUGAUAUGAGCUGCGUCCAUCCUGGCAACAGAACCUUUUUCACACCGCAACUUGGGACUUCCUGCUCCAUUGCAAUGAUUCAUUCCUCAAGUUCAGGGUUUAUCAGCUCCCGUUUGCUUUACCCUAACCCCAAGCAAACACACAAAUAAGAAUGUAAGUCACAUCAAAUGACACAAUGUUACAUAUGUAUUCAAAUAGAUAUUGAUUCAUGGUCUCUUCAAUCUCACACACCACAAGCACAAAUCCCUUGUUGAAAAUUUUGGACAUCCAAAUGGAUCAAAAGUGGUGCACCAAUUAUUCAGAAAACCUUAAUUAUUAUUAUUUCUUCUUCUUCUUCUUCUUCUUCUUCUAUUUUCAAUUAAUGUACAUUCAGUUUUGUAAUACAUUUUCAUAAGCAAUGUUAUUAUUGAACUUUCAAUGCAUUUCUAUUGUUUGAGACCAUUUGCUUAAUUGAUAUGUUUUUGGCUUGUUUUAUACAUACAGAAAGAGAGUACCAGCAUGUAAGGAUCAUUGUGUGAGUUCUGCAGUACAGCAGUGGAUACCAUGAACACAUACUUAAUAUUCUGUAGCCCUUGAGACUCCCUAAACCCAGAGGCACAACUUCCUGCAUUAGAGACAUUGCAGGACCAAGCAUUCAGCCAUGCCUUGGUACCACUGUGUGCAGCCCAUCAAUGGCUCUCUCUUGGCUCUGCCCUUUUUUUUAGUUAGCACACUCCAUACAAACUCUAAACCUAAAACCCAGCUAGAAUGGUUGGAAGAAUAAAAUGUUAUUCUAUUCUUUUUCUUAAUAAAUUAUACUAAACAGACUGUCUGCAUCUUCUACCUUUAUUUACUUCUAAAUUUUUUCCAGACAAACAAAAUAAAUGAAAAUUGAAGACAAAAGUGUUUUUCAGUAAACUCAUGCGGAGGCUUUGAUCUUUUUGUGGAUUGACAAGACAUGAUUUGCCUUGUGUUGUCAGGAGUACCUUUAUACAUAUACAAUAUAGUACAUGAUGCCGUUAAAGAAACCAUUUAUAUCAUGUUGAAAAUAAUACAGCGUCCUUACCAUGGCAGUGGCAUUAUGGACUUAAGAUUUUUACCAUUAAAAUAAUCACUUACAGUACUUUAGGUUCAAAUAAAAAGGCAGGUUGAUUAAGUGAGUUUUUAUGAUUUGAGUCAACACAUCCACCUAGAAUUUUUUUUAAAUGAAGUAAAAAAGAAAUACUUUUUAGAAAAAAAAAGUAUAUAUAUAUAUAUAUCUAUAUGUGUGUGUGUGUGUUAUAAAGACAAGGAAGGAACAAUGACACUCCAGAGGGUGUGGCCGCACAAUGAGUAGAAACCCUGCAAGCAGUUGCAGCAAAUACAUUGUAUCCUUAAUUGAAUAUUUAAUUGGAGUGGUGAGAGUAGGAUAAUUAACUUGCUCCGGCCCUUAUUGUCAAACAAAUUUGGUGUGACAGAAAAGACCUUUGUGGUAGGAUGCUAAGUAAUUUUAGGAUUUUUUACCAGUGUGAAUUUUGUUGUUCCCACAAGGAUAGUAGUUUGGUUGUGCAGAUCAUAUGACCAAGGAUGGCAUUAUAUGCACAGAGACUUUCUAGUUGCCAUUGGCCUAUGCUUUGGUAGUACUUAUAAUAUCAGAGGAAGGAAGGUGUGUGGAACGAGCCUGCCUUCAAGAGGGUGGAACUGAAAUUGGUAGCAAUUGCUACUAAUUUGGGUAAGUAUGCACUGAUCAACCCCACAUGUGCUCUAUCAAGUGAUCAACUGCCUAAUAGCUUAUCUAGAAGUAGCACCAAGUUUUUGUUAAACACAAAUGUAAUCGAGAUUAGAUUAGAUUUAAAAAAAGUGAAAGUCAAAAUGGAAUACUUGGAAAAAUGUGUUGUCAUUGCAUAUUUCAUUGGAGGAUGUCCUCUGACUAGGGUGAUACAAGAUUGGUUAGAACAAUUACAAACCAAGAUAAGGCUGUAUAUGCACCACACACUUGGUAUGCAAGUGCAAUGCAACCUAAAAUUCAAAACAAUUGGCAACUAGAGGAGCACAUGCACAAAUUAAAUCACCAUCUAUCAAUCAGAAUGUAAUUGAGAAAGGCAGGACCUCCAACAAUAAGCAUCAAAAUGAUCUAGUGACAUCAACAACCUACCUACUGCUUAAUGUAAAUGUUGUAUCAACACCCCUGGCAGAGACACCAAUGUUGGGCUUUAUUACCACCCAAGGCAAUUCAACAAGGAGCAGCAUACAAAACCAAGGUAAAAAAGAAAAAAAACACACACACAAUAAUAAUAGUAUUCAAAAGCAAAGCGACAAAGUAAAUCUUCUUAACUUAAAUUAAAGAAGCCUUGAAUAGGCAAUAUGGCAGAAUCAUGAGCAACACCGAGGGUUGGAGUCACUACCAAAUACAAGAGAAUUCUUGCAUAUUCAUGAUUUUAAUGAAGCACUUAACAAGCAGACUGCAAGGCAAGAUGAAAAUGCAAAAGUUACUUAACAUAAACAAGUGCUCACCAUCAAGAUAAUGAAGAAUCUUGAAUUAAAUUGAUUAUUGAGCAAGUCAAUUUUAAAAAAGAAUCAAUGCUUAUCUAUAUGAAGACACCACCAAUCCCUCUAACUUACUCAAUAGCGAGAAGAUAGACAACCACUCCUAUGAGCAUUGAAAGAAACCGAUAAAUGUCAAAAGGUCCUUCUUGGACAUACUGAAUUAUUAGUAUGAGAGUGCUAAUCCAAAAGAUGCAUGGGCUUUAUGAUUCUAAUAAAUUUAAGGUUGUACAAAACUAUCUAUGACAUUAUUUGUCAAAAGCAAAUACCAUAUGUGUGUAAGAGUAUAAGUUCAGAGGAGCAAAAUUUGUAGAGUUAGAAAACUUUAUAUAGUAGGUGCAGAGUUUUUAGGCCAACAACCAUGCAAUUCAUAAUAUAGAGGUGGGCAGCAAAGACAUAGGAAUGUGGAUCUCUUCUCGCUUUACACACUAGGUCGGCCACUCUCAAUUGAGUAAGGCAUAAUGAACUUAACUGAAGGAGGUAGACAACUCUGUUAUAUUGAUAUUAAAUAUUUAUGCCUUACAUUUUGUAUGAGAGAAGAUGGAGUUGUGGUACAAACUACUUAACAUCUUAGCAAAGAAUCAUAAAUAGAUUGUUUCAUAGUAUUAUAAUUUUGUCAAAAGGAGUUGCAAUAAAACAAACUUUCAAAGCCAUAAAAUGUUAAUAAGAUAUUAAAAUUUUAUCAUAGCUCUAUAUAUCCAUCUUUAGCAUAAAUAUAAAGUCUUGGCUCCCAAAAACUCCUUUAUUUUGCAUAAAAUGCUCAAAUUAUAUCAAAAUCCCUUCAAUUUAUUUUUUUUCUACAAAUGAUUUUUUGUUUUUCAAACUUUACAAUUUCAUAUCUCUUGAUUCAACUAGUCGAUUUUUUCUCAAAUUUCUAGAUAAUUGAGAAUUUAUUCUUAAUAUUUACUAAAAAAAGAAUGAACUAUAAAUUUACUAUAAAUUAUCUCGUAUCUUAGAAACCCUAGCAAGUACUCUAAAUUCCAAUUUAUAAGUACCUAAGUACUACUUUCUUCAUAUUUCAAAAAUUAAAAAUUCAAACAGUAUAAAAAUUUGUAUAUAACUUAAUAAUACAAUAAUAUACAUUUUUGAAACUUUUGAGCCAAAAUCUUAUCAAAUUGCUUGAGAUAUAGCUCAAAAUAUAACCACUAAUAAAUUAGAUCAUUUACAGCCCUUAGAUUCCAUGUAUUGACUUCAACUUCUAAUAUCUCCUUCAUUUUAAUCUAGAAUUUAUCAAAACAAUAUAUGUAAAAUAUAGCUAAGUGUUUUAUUUAAUCUCAAUUGUCAAUCCUUCAUUGCUUUGUGUAUAUGUGCGUUAUAUUCCAAAGAGUGACAAUAGGUACAAAAUCAAUACCUUGACUUUGAGCACCUAUAUCUCCUUUACAAAAACUCCAAAUCACAGAAAAUUUGCACCAAAAAUAAUUAUAUAGCUUAUCAUACUAAGCUUAGCUCAACUCAAGUACAACCAAGGAUGCAAUACAAUAAGUCAUAUGAAGAUUAAAUAAUUGGCUUAUCCUAGAAGAGAAGGAUAAUUUGAGCCGACCUCUAUCAUUCAAAGAAAUUACAGUAGCCUUGAAUGAAAUGAAAGAGGAGGGGGAAAUAAAUCCUUUGGACUCAAUGGAAUGAUUUUUUGAAUUUUAUAUAAUAUUUUGAAAUAUUAUAGGUCCAUAAUUUCUAAUUAUAUUAUGAGAAAGUAUUUACAAAAAAAGGCUUCUUCUUGGAGUAACAUAAGAUCUUAUUGCUUUAUUGUAUAAAAGAAGAAUAAAGCAAGACCUCACAAAUUAAUGGCCAAUCAUCUUCUUUAAUAUUAGUUACAAAAUUUAUACAAAAUUUAUGUAAUUAAGGCUUCAAUUAAUUUUAAUGAAUAUUAUUAGUAUGAAACAAUUGACUUUUUCAUCUAAUUAUUUUAUCAUAGAUAAUCUAUUAUUAAUACAUGAAACUAUGGCAUGAGUAGAGAAGUCAAAGUAAUCACUUUUCUUUUUAAAACUUGACUUUUUUAAAGCAUAUGACAUGGUUGAUUGGAAUUUUUUUUUUUUUUUUUUUUAUGCAAUGGAAUCAGAUGGAUUAUCAAGGAAGUUUAAUCAAAUGAUUAAGCUACUAUUCAUCAAUACAAAGGCAUGCAUGAAGAUAAAUGGUAUACUUUUUGAGCCUUUCAAGGUUGAAAAAAGAAUAAGAUAAGGUUAUUUACUUGUUCCAUAAUUAUUCUUUAUAUUAGCAAAAUUUUUAAAUACAAUAGUCAUGAAUGAUAGAGGAGUAGGAUUAAUAAAAGGUAUACAACUACCUAUAGCCUAGAAACAACAAAUUAUAACUUAAUAUAUUAAUGUCACAUCUUUGAUAUUGAGAAAAAAAAGAUUGUAAUGUAAAAAGAGCUAUUUAUAUACUUAAGACAUUUUAUUUGGAAUGAAGACUUAUUUUGAAUUAGACUAAAUCAAAAAAUUAUUGAAAAAGUACACAUUCACUUGUUAGACCACCUUAAAUUAAUAAAAUAGAUAUUGCAUGGGCUAAUGAAAUUGAUCUAAAUAAAUUAUUGGAAGUACCAUUUGACCUAUUUCUUAAUUCCAAUGACUUUGAUUCCUUCUUACAAAGAAAAUUUGAUAAAAAAAACUAAGUCAUUGAUACUUUAUAAUGAUCAAUGCCAUUGGAAGAGGAAUAAUUGUCAAUAAUGUACUUUUAUCAACUAUGUUUUAUUUUAAGUCAUUAUAAAAAGAAAUAAAAAUAAAAAUAAAAUGCCUUUGAAAGAUUAAAGUCUUUCUUAAUAAUUACCUUACAAGAAGAACCAUGCAUUAAACUCAUACUAAAAUGGCAUGAUUACAAUGUUACUAAUCAUUCCAUAAAUGUGGUAUUAACCUUAUUAACCCAUGAAAUGCAAUAGUGGCAUUGUUAGAUAAAUGGAUUGUGAAAGCCAUAGAACUAUCAGAGUCUGAUUUACACUUCAUGCUACGAUAUCAUCUUAAUAAAUUCCAACCAUAUGCUAAAGGGAAGUGGCAACCAAGUAGAGGUUUUUGGUUAUUGUUCAAAAAGAAACAUGUGCUAUGGAAUGUAAUUGUUAGAAAGUGGAAAGGCAUCUUAUUGUAAGGCUUCAAACUUAAAUGGGUCAACAUCUCAGAUAUUAGGUGUGAGCCAUUGAAUUGACUUACUUUGAUAUUUAGUAUAAAAAAUGUACUUAUUGUGCUUAAAAUACAAAUUUUAUGAGUUAAUAUUAGAAUUUUAGGAAAAAAUGGAAAAUAAAUUGCUAGUAGCAGACAUGCAAUCUAAGAUAGAAUUUAGUAAGAAGAAACUAUAAAAACUAUAUUUUUCUAGUUAGCUAAUAGUAGAGGAAUUACAAGGAAGUAAUCUUGGUGUCAAAAAAGAAAAGAAAAGAAAAAAAUCUAGUGAGGUUUAAUUAUGAUGGGUUUGAAGUUUUUUUUUCCAAAUUCAAUAAAUUCAAGGGGCAAAGUGAUUCUUCAAAUUUAUGGAAGCCUUCAAAUGCAAUAGAUGCAUCAAAUGCACCUUGAGGAGUGAAGAAAACAAGAUCAACACCCUUUCCUUCAAAGUACAAGUAGAGAAAUGAAAUUCUCAUUUUUUGAAGAAUUUUAUAAAUAUUGCCUAAAUCCUUGUAAGUUAAAAAAAAACCUUCAUAAAAGUUGCAAAGGAGCAUAGAUUGAUGCAUGUGAGUAGUCAAUAUUAGCAUAAAAAAUUGUUUUAAACACAUUGUUUAAGUUAGAUUUAUCGAAAAGCAUUUUUUUUUUCCACUUAUGAGAGCCAUCAGCCUUAGUUACGAAAUUGGCUUUUUGAUGAAGGAAGGCCAUAGAUCUACAUUAAGGAUCUUAGAGGUCAAGGGUGGAGAUGUGGCUGCCCUUCCACAAGCCACCACUCAAUUGUAUAAGAGUAGUUUGGUUUCCCAAGCCUCUUUCCAUCUCUUUCCUUUUUGAUGAAGGCAAAGCCAUGCCAAAGUGUGGUCUCAACCCUAAUCCUAAUCUUAAUUUUCUGCUUCUUUCUUGAGCUUAGAUCUCAUUUUGAACUUUAGGAACAUAUGAGCAUUGAUUUUGCAUCGUGGGUGGUUUAAAACUUUGCAAUUAGUGGUCACUAACCAUUUUUAUAGUCAAAAGGGUUUGAGGGACCUCAGAUUUUCCUCAAUCAAUUUGUGGUUUUUUAUGAUUUGUAAGCAAAUAUUUUUUUCAUCACAUAGCCCUUGUUAUUAGCUUUUCAACGAGCUAAGGCCUUCUCAAUUUGGAGUUGAACCAAAAUUUUGGUGAAUUUUUGAGUAUAAGGGGGCGGCUGCCUUGGCAAUUUCAAUAACCCAACUUUGAAAAGACAUUCCUCAGUGCCAAUUAAUGGGAUUAUUUUGAAAUUUUGGGAGUACAAGAAUCUUCAAGCUGAGCUUCCAUUGGCAUAAAUUGUAUUAAAUUUGAAGCAAUUGUGAAUUUUUAACAAAGUUUUGAGUGAAGGGGGGACGGCUGCAGCAGUAGGCCCAAUGACCCAACUUUGAAGAAGCAUUGCUCAUAGCUCACGUACUAUUUUACCACGAAAAUUUUGGAGCAGGAGCCCCUUGAAGUUAAAUUUCCAAUACAACAAAAAUCAUUAGACCUAAUUUGGAUUUUUUGCGAAUUUUGGAAUAAAUGAGGUGCUUCCCUCAGUCCUUGGGCGUUGUCAAGGUACUUGCACUUGUACCUCUCUUUAUUUAUUUUUUUCUUUUAUUUUAUUUUAUGUUAUUUUUUUCAGUAACUUGUAACUUCUACAUUCACUUUUGGCUUUAAUUUUUAACUUUUAAUGUUCUCUCUUUUACUUUUUUAAACUUUUAAUUUUACUUUUACUUUUUAAAAUUUACUUUUAACUUUUAACUUUUAAUCCAACGUUAAAAAAUUUACAAUUACUAUGGAUUAAGGAUAAUUACUUAAUUAAUUACUUUUACCAUCGAUUAAUUAUGAAGUAAAAAUUUACACAAUUUUUUAAAAAUAAUAAAAUAAUAAAAUAAUAAAAAGUAAUAAAAAUGACCUAAUAAAAUAAUAAUAAUAAUAAUAAUAAUAAUAAAAUAAAAAAUUAAAUCAAAUUAUCUAAUUAGAAGUAGAAGAAGGAACUGUUUUGUAUGAAGUUAAGGAGUGAAUUAUCAUUGUGAAUGUGAGUAAUGUUAGAGGAUUUGAUUAAUAACUUGGUGUUUUAAGAAGGACAAGUAAUAAAUGGAUUAGAAUUUAAAUAAUAGCAUUAUGUUAAAUUCAUAUAGUUAAUUCACUUAUUAUGAGUUAGAAUAAACUUCCAAUUAGUGGAAGUUUAUUGUAGCUCACACUACGAUAGCUCAAAAAGAAGCAGGCCUUACAUGAUUAACCUGGCACAAGGCAGUUGCAAUUAACUUGUGACGUAGGGGAGUCAAAGAUGUUGAUGAGUGUUGCCAUGUUUGUUUGAAUGAAUCACAUGAAACAGUGUUGCACAGAUUUUGGGAAUGUAUAUAUGUAUUAUUUUUUAAUAUAUAUAUAUAUAUAUAUAUAUAUAUAUAUAUUAGCAUCUAUUGUUUCAUAUAAUGGUUUAAGUUUAAGUUUUAUUUUUUUCUCUCUCUUCAAAUCUGCUCUUGGCAAUUGGAAUUUGUUUCAAUAUCCCCAAUUGCAUAUCCUACCCAUUGAAUUCACACUUAGUCAAUUGGCACAAGUUCCAAAAUAGACUCUAAUAAUAUUUCAUUAGCUCCAUGAACCAUUUAUACUUUCUCUACUUAUAAUCAGUUAUGUUUGAAUGUGUUAUUUACUUAUUUAUUUACUUUGAUAACACCAAUCAAAUAUUGGCUGCUAAAACAUUUCUAAAAAAAUUCAACCAAUUUUUCUUUGAAGAUACUCAUACACACAUGUGUAUAUUUGAAUAAUUUCACAGACAUUUAAAAAAAAGAAAAAAAAAGAAACAUGAGAUCUUUCUAGCCAGAGCCCUGCACUGCUCAUUACAAUGUUGCUCUCCCUAUCACACUUCAGUAUCCUAUUCUUCCUUUUCACUCCAGACUUGUUAUUAUGUGAUUAUUGGAUUCUAUCACCAGUAAUAACAAUGUUAGCUGUUUAGAGUGCAUGUGGCUCACAUUUACUCCAUCAAUUCCUAUCAAUCUGAACCCUAAAACCCUAAAGCGUUUUUUUCUUUAUUGGUAGGGAAAUGAGUAAAUCUACAUACAUUCAUUCACAUGUUCUUAAUGCACUUAAGAACAUGUGAAUGAAUUAAGUAUCAGUUUUCAUGCUGAUUCACCUCUAUUAAUAGGGCUCAUGGUUUUCAGUGCACAUAGAAUAUGCCAUGUCAGCAUGAUUUAUAUAUUAUUUUUCUUGACUGAAAGGAUGAUCCUGCAACCAAUGGACAGUUUCUUGAAUGGACCCACCAACUAUCUGUGGCAUCGUAAACCCUAAACCUUAGACUGCAAUGACCCAGCACAGACACAGUCUGCCAUGUUGACAAGAGAAAAAGGAUCUUUGAAGUUUUUUUUCUUGUUUUUGAUCAACCAGACAAGUCAAUGACACAGGCUAGAAAUCAUUGAAACAGUGCAUAGUUCACAGCACCAGAAUUACAGAAGUGGGUACUCCAAGUGUGAUUAUCAUAGAGUCUGCAAAAGAGAACACACAAAAAAAAGUACUGACAAAAAGUAAGACAUGGUCUGUGCCUCUGGACCCUGACAGUGCUCACACUUGCUUUGGUUGUUGGGCACACAGCAUUGAGGUUCUUCAAGUUCCCCAUGAUGUUCUCUUAGGGUUUGCGUGGGAAGGAACAAAUUUCCCCAUAAAAUAAAAAGGUACAAUGACUACGGCACAGGAGUUCAGUACAAUUGUCAAAUGGGCAAGGGAAAAAAUAAAAUGAAAAAAAAAGGAAAGAGCCAAAAAGAAAAACUGUUUGCAGCCAAACUCCAUGCCCUUGGACUAACACUAUCUUCCAUACACGUGAUUUUGUUUCAACAUAUUAUUAUUAUUGGAAUUAUGUCCUUUACAUAUCAAGUAUUGCUUCCAAUAUUCUAUUUUUGAAAAUGUUUCAAUUGUUUGUAUGUUUACACAAAUUUUCCAAUGAGUGGAGAAAAUGAAAGAGAAUGUGUUCUUUUUUCCCAUAAAGUAUGAACAUGGUUAUUUCCUAAAAUAUACAUUAGGAACUUCUCAAGAAGUAGUGUUCAUAGAAAUUUAAAAUCACAUUUCAGAAAUCCCAAAAGAUACUCAUAGUUGUUUUAAAUAAUUAUGUUAUGAUAUUUGCCAAACAUUUUAAAAUCAAAGUAUGAGUUGCCUUAUUUUGAAAGUUAUAUAUUUUUAAAAAAAAAAAUUAUGACUUCUUGUUACUCUAUAAUAUCUCUUAAAGCAAAGGCCUCAAAUGAACAAGUUCAGUAAGCAAUAUAUGAGAUUUUUAUAAAAUUUCUGGACCACAACCUUUUAAAGUAGCUUCUAGGUAUAAAUACCCCAUAGAUUGAGUUUUGCAUGUGACUAUGAGUUGCAAGAAUGUUAGAGAUUUAAAAAAAAAAAAAAAAAAAAAAAAAACUAAGUGAACAUUAAGUAUUUAUUUUAGAUAACGUUAAACUUAUAAAAUAAUACUUUAAAACAAAAAAAAAACAUAUACAUACUCGCACGCACACACACACACACACACACAUAUAUAUAUAUAUAUAUAUAUAUAUACUACACGUAUCAUAUAUAAAAGCUUUAAACAAAAUUUAAUCAAGUAGAGCAAUAUAUAUAUAUUGAGUAGGUAUUACUUGAAUUAUAAUAUUUAUUUAUUUAUUUAUCCAUUUUACUUUAUAAUUGAUAUAAAUAUGGCAUUAUUAGAUGUAAAUUUAAACACAAUCUGUGAGGAAAAGAUAAAAAUUAAUAAAAAUAUAAUAUUGAAAUUAAAAAAUUAUCUAUUAGAAAUACAAUUUGAAAUAUAUGUAUGUGUGUAUGUGCGUGUAUAUAUAUAUAUAUAUAUAUACAUGUGUAAAAGUUUCAAAAACAUAGUAGAAAAUACUUCUUGUGUCAAAACAUAGUUUAACAAUUAAUUGACUUUUACAACAUUUAAGAAGGCUUGUAAACCACAAUUUAUACAAGUUUAAAAGUUAUUUUCAGUAGAUGAAAGAUGGUAUUAAUUUUAAAUCCAAUAAUUUUAAUUGUAUUGCUAAAAUUUUAUUUUUGGUACUUAUAUUGACUUACUAUACAAUGUAUUUUAGAGAAUCUUAAGACAUUCAAAGACAAAUAAUCAACAAUCCUAAAUCAGUAUAAGAAUUCUUUAGAAACAAAUUACAAACAGUUGAAUACCAAAGCUUCUAUUUUUUUCAAUAAAAUAUAUAUGGUAAUUAAAUAAAUUUAGUGAAUUAUUUGUAUAUUAUCAAUAACUUCAAAAAAAACAAAUAUCAAAAAUAUUAAAAUCUGUAAUAAAAUAUUAUACAAAAAAUAUCUUGUAACCCUACAUUCUGUAUUCAUGACAAGUGCUUUGCACAAUUCUAUAUCUUAAAAGGACUAAUUUGACUUAUUAAAUUAUAGUGACUUGCAAAAAAGAACCAAUAUUUUGACAUUUAUACAUAAAAAGAAAAGAAAAGAAAAUAAAAAGUUUCAUACUUUAAAUGUUUUAUACAAUUUUCUAGAAUGGCUAUACUUCUGGAUUUUAAAAUUUGUAAGUAGAUUUUUAUUUUAAAAAAUUAUAGUAAUUUUAUAAUAAAUAUCAAAUCGGUAUUUAUUUGUUAAUAUUUUAUUUAUUAUCAAUAUUUAUGCUUCUGCAGAAGAAAGCAAAGGUGUGAGCAUCAAAUAGUAUGCAAUAAAAUGCGAAGAGUGACCAAUAUUAUAUAAAAGUAAUAAGUAGUUAUAAGUAAGCUUUUAAAAAAAUAUAACUUAUAUGAUUGAAUUAAAUAAUUAUAAGCAGAAAGAUUUUAAAUAUGUAUUUCAUUUUGUCACUAAAAAGAUUUUUUUUAUAAAAGUAGGUUAUAUGUUUACAAAGGUUCUACCUUAUAUUGUAGUUAUAGAAAAAUGUGUUAUGUUUUUAGUCUACAAAAAACCAAAUUAAAAAAAAAAAAAAAAAAAAAACCCCUUUGGAGUCCAAAACGUGCAUGAUAUUGUAAUUAUUUAAGGUAGUAAUUAGAACAAGUAUUAAUAAUCAACACAAUCAACCUUCUAUAAAUAAUAAAAAAUAAAUUAUUUUUAUUAUGUAUAUAGUUUAUUUUUAAUUAAUUAAAUAAGUAUUCUUUUUAUAAGAUCAAAAAACAUAUAUUAGAAUAAAUUGUUGAUAAUUAAUAAAUGAGUCUUAUUAAUAGAUAACAGAAAAUUGAAGAUAAUUAUGUAUAUUGGAUGUAAAAGUUUAGUAAAUCCAAUGAUGUAGUAGACAUUUAUAAGCACUAUCAAUAUAUAUAUAUAUAUAUAUGUAUUACUUUGCAGCUUUUGUUUCAAGAUUGUAGCAAACAACAAUAGAAUAGCUGAUGGAUGCAUGGUUAUUUUAAUAGUAAAAAAAUCUUUUUCAGUAUAUUACAUACUUUACUCAUUUAUGUCAAUCAUUUUGAAUACACACAAUUUUGUUUUUCUAUAAAGAUUAAUAAGACAAUUUAAAAAGAUAUAGGAUAUUUGAAUCUACAAAACUAUAUAACAAGCAUAAAAUAUUUAUAAUAGUGCACACUUAUAAAAUUAGAAUAUCUCAUAUGAUUAGAAUUUUUUUAAUAAAAUAAUUAAGUGAUAAUAUACAUAUAUAUAUAUAUAUAUAUAUUAAAGACAAUGGUGUUUGUGUGUGUGCACCUAUUCAAAGGCAUUACAUCUCUUGAUGAAUCCAUCUACAAAGUCAUCUAGAAUAAUUAGUUGAUUCAUACUUCAAUUGUCUUAAUAAACAAGAAAGGUUUAGACUGACUCAACAUCUAAGAUUGAUACCAAGAGCUAUACAUCAUGAGUUUUAACUAUAUAUUGUGUGUCUACUUUGUAAGAGACACAUGGCAUUUGGUUUAAUUCAUUUUUGUUGUUGUGAUGCUAUUUAAAAAAAAUGUAUAUCUAUUCCAAUUAAUUUCCACCUUCUCUACAAGCAUUUGGGAUAGUAUUGCUUUAUACUAUUCAUGAGGCAAAUGAAUGAACUCUAAUAAUAGUACAUGUAUAAAUGUGGAUGUUGUAAAUGCCACCAUAGUUUUUGCUACUACUAUUGCAAUCUAUCAUCCACCAUAUGUCACCACAAUUUUUUCUAUUACUACCACAAUUUUAUUUUUAUUUAUUUAUUAAAUAAAGAUCAAAUUUACUAUGUAAAAAAAUUUAAGUAUACAUACAUACAUACAUAUUAGAAAUUUUAAAAAAUAUAUAAAGUGGGUGAUGACAGUAGCAGAAAUUGUGAUGACGAGAUUGAUGAUAAAUUGUAGAUAAUAACAACAAUUAUGGUGGCAUUACCAACGCCCAUAAAUAUACACACAUGGAUUACCUUGUGUCAUCUAGUGGAUGAAUAAUGACAUAAAAGUAUCAUCCUUUCCCUCAUUCCCUGUUUGUUUUCACAGCAUAUGUCAAGCUCCGGCUUAUCCACAUACUCAUCAGUUCCCACAAUCUCACUGGUUCCUACAAACUCACCAAUUCUUUGAAAUCAAUAUCGAGUAUUAGGGUUACGUGGUUCGGGAGCAUGCGAAGCUAGGGUUCGGGGGCUCUAAAAGCAGAUCUUUUCUAUCUGUGCGCAUUGAAUUUCUUUCUCUGACUUACGCGUGAAGUUUUGUGGGCGAGCAGAACAUCGGGGUGAGACGGACAUUGGGAAGGCAGGGCAUGGUGGGGAUGAAAACUCACUAAAACGAGCGAGCGAUCGAGAUGGAUGCGCAGGUGGGAUCCGUAGGCGAUCAGCGCAGCUCUGUUGCGGAAUCUUCGAACGAAUUGGGCGAAGAUUCUAGGGUUGCCAAGGAUGGCUCAGAAGAUGUCAUCGCGCAAGGACUUGCUGCUGUGUUGGGUCCCGUGGUGCGGGAAUUUGAUGCAAGGGUAGAAGGAGCUCUCAAGAGCCAGAGCUUGCUAACCGGGAGCAUUGAUCGUCUCACCAAAGGUAUGGUAUCUGAGAAUGGUUGGCCGAAGGAGGAGUUCUGUCUGGAUGAAGCGGUUUUGCUAAGUGUGUGUCAGGUGGGGUUACUGGGUGAAAGAAAUGGAAUUCGGUACAUUUUCCGAUUUUCGUUGACAUGUAUCUUGUUGGUAUUGUAUUUUAUUUUUAUUUUUUUUCAGAGCUAGAUAAGCUGUUAGAAGAUACCCCUAUUCCAACGGUAGCACAACACGCUGC